rnacentral:rRNA from 1 species
GACGAACGCUGGCGGCGUGCUUAACACAUGCAAGUCGAACGGAAAGGCCCUGCUUUUGUGGGGUGCUCGAGUGGCGAACGGGUGAGUAACACGUGAGUAACCUGCCCUUGACUUUGGGAUAACUUCAGGAAACUGGGGCUAAUACCGGAUAGGAGCUCCUGCUGCAUGGUGGGGGUUGGAAAGUUUCGGCGGUUGGGGAUGGACGCGCGGCUUAUCAGCUUGUUGGUGGGGUAGUGGCUUACCAAGGCUUGGACGGGUAGCCGGCCUGAGGGGGUGACGGGCACAUGGGGAAUGGAGAGCGCGCCGAGCCUCGUGGGGGGGCAAGGGGUGGGAAUGUUGGAAAAGGGGGGGGAGGCCUGAUCCAGCACCGCCGGGGGGGGGAGGCGGCCUUUGGGUUUGUAACCCUUUUCCGCUGGGACAGAGGGGGGAGGGAGGGUAAUGGGAAAAGAAGCACCGGCAAACUACGC